CGGAUGCUUGUUUGAACCGCAUGGUUCAAACAUAAAAGGUGGCUUCGGCUACCACUUACAGAUGGACCCGCGGCGCAUUAGCUAGUUGGUGAGGUAAUGGCUCACCAAGGCAACGAUGCGUAGCCGACCUGAGAGGGUGAUCGGCCACACUGGGACUGAGACACGGCCCAGACUCCUACGGGAGGCAGCAGUAGGGAAUCUUCCGCAAUGGACGAAAGUCUGACGGAGCAACGCCGCGUGAGUGAUGAAGGUUUUCGGAUCGUAAAGCUCUGUUGUUAGGGAAGAACAAGUACCGUUCGAAUAGGGCGGUACCUUGACGGUACCUAACCAGAAAGCCACGGCUAACUACGUGCCAGCAGCCGCGGUAAUACGUAGGUGGCAAGCGUUGUCCGGAAUUAUUGGGCGUAAAGGGCUCGCAGGCGGUUCCUUAAGUCUGAUGUGAAAGCCCCCGGCUCAACCGGGGAGGGUCAUUGGAAACUGGGGAACUUGAGUGCAGAAGAGGAGA
rnacentral:rRNA from 1 species